UGCCUGGCGGCUUUAGCGCGGUGGUCCCACCUGACUCCAUGCCGAACUCAGAAGUGAAACGCCGUAGCGCCGAUGGUAGUGUGGGGUCUCCCCAUGCGAGAGUAGGGAACUGCCGGGCAU
rnacentral:rRNA from 1 species